rnacentral:lncRNA from 1 species
ACAUAUUAUAAUGAAUUUUAUCCAUGAACUCCCAUGAAUUUUAAUUUUUAUACAAUGUUUUCAUGUAUUUUCGUUGGAAUUAGUCCUUACAUAUUUGAAGGGUGAUAUUUUAAUAUUAAAUCCUUAACCCAUGAAUUUAGUAUGGAGGUUAUGUUAUUAUCCCAUGAAUUAAACUAUUACCAUGCUUAAAUCCAUGGAUUUCAAGUGUUUUAUAAAAUGCCUGAUGG